GUUCUGCAAUUGACUCGCGACUGGGUUGUGCAGGCUACAGAUGGUGGUGCGAAGGGGUGCCAUGGGUGGUCAACUUUAGUCGUUAUUGUCGUCGCCUCCUAAUGAACCCCUGGUUGGACCUCCUUCUUUCUAUAUCAGGGGUUACAACGUCUUCAAAGACCGUUCGCGUGAGAAGUAUUGGUGCUGGGCUAUCGUACAGAUUUGGUCAGCGACAGCAAGACCGGCUAGCUUUUAUCAGAUAGAGAUUUAUCAUCACAAUUCUAUGAAUCUAAAUCUUGGUUGAUAGCUUCUGCUAAGAGGAAAUUAAAGAAAGGGGAUUUUAUGCAUUAAUAAUGUAAGUUUGCAGUUCACAAAUGUCACCUAGAAUUGCUAAAAUUAGUAAUAUGGUUUAAUGAACUUAGUGUUAUGUAUUAAAAAAAGAAAUAGAUUGAUAAUUUAUUAGCUAAGAUUUAUAGAAUUGUACAGAGGAAAUUUGAAUUGGUGGGUGUUCCUUGCUUUUGUUUUAUUAGUGGAUUGAGUGAUAAUGAAAUUCAAUAUAAUCUAUAUGAGUUUUUGUUUUUUUUUGCCUUUUCUGCUUUUCUCCGUCUCUUCUAUAUCUCUCUCAGGAAACUUUUGUUAAAUAUAUAAAUUAUAUUAAAGUAUUAGAAAUAUAUUCAUUUUUCUCGCUUUGAUAUUUUCAUUUUUAUGUUUCUCCAACCAAUGUAUAUAAUGAUCACUGAGUUAUGUUCAUUUAUACAUCUAAUUGAAUAUGCAACUAAGCAUAAUGAUUAUGUAACAUAAUGAUUUAUGCAUCUUCUGUUUUCUACUCAGGUAAUUGCUGCUGAUAACUUCUUCAGUAGAUCAAAGGACAAUCUUAUGAAAUGGAUUGGUCGACAUCCCAGAUUUGAGCUUAUUCGUCAUGUUAUAGGAGUUUUCUCCUUGUAGAGUUGUAGUUGUUCCAGUUAUAUUCGUCAUGAGAUUUGUAGGACAUCAAUGUUUAUAACUUAACAUGUUUCUUUAAUAAGAUCUCACCUCUUAUGGUGUAUUUUUUGUAUGUGAUUUUAGUACAAUUAUGAAGAUAGCAUUUUCCUAUUUUCUUUUCA